GUAUGAGAUUAGUCUCGACCACGGCAGAGACCACCGACAUGGGAAGGCAACGCCACGGCGGACCGGCCUCGAUAGAGUCCUCUUUCCUCCUCCGUCACGGCUAUGGUGGAGGCACGCUUAAGCGUCAACGGAGGAAGACGAAUCCACGACUCAAAGCGUCGAGUCCUCUGACGAACUUGCCGCGACUUCUGCCCCUAAUUGGGUUGAAUUGUGGUAUAAUUAGUUUUUGAAUUCGAUCGAUAUUGGACUGAGUUGUGUUUCUGGGUUGUACGGCGUAUCACCGUGUGGACGUCGAUGGCUGUUCUGGCUGUUCUUAGACCAUCUCCUCUCCUUUUGAAGAGUGCUGAUGUUUAUGGGAGUUGAAAUUCUGAAUUUGCUAGACUUAGGUGGAAGUGAGAACAUGGGAGGAAAAUUCCAGUAGCUGGGUUGUCGACAAUGGUGUUUUCUACUGGAAUUGAAUGAUGCCUUGAGCUCUACUUGAUAACAAGAAAUGCCUAGUGGGAACUGGCGCUGUAUGGUUUAGAGGAGAUGAGAGGACUAGCCGUCAAAAGUGAAGACACUGAUAGCUCUUUCUUGCAUCUUUGGUUCUAGGGGUUUGCCUGUGAAAAAUGAACAUCAAGUGCACGGGGCCUCCAAGUACAAGGUGUUAAGAAGCUUCACAUCACAGCCAUUGACAACUUCCAGUUGCACAGUAUGAGAGUGGAACCAAUUUUUAAUAUCCAUUUCUAUCGAGUUGUUUCAUUACUGUAUGGAAUCAGAAUCAUAAUAGAACUAAUUACGAUCAAUGUCGUUUACUUACCAUAUGAUUAUGGAGGCUUUGAUUCCUAAUUAAAUGGGUUAUUAAGGAAUGGGAUCGACUUCUGAUU